GAUGAACGCUGGCGGCGUGCCUAAUACAUGCAAGUCGAGCGAACAGAUGAGGAGCUUGCUCCUCUGACGUUAGCGGCGGACGGGUGAGUAACACGUGGAUAACCUACCUAUAAGCCUGGGAUAACUUCGGGAAACCGGAGCUAAUACCGGAUAAUAUAUUGAACCGCAUGGUUCAAUAGCGAAAGACGGUUUUGCUGUCACUUAUAGAUGGAUCCGCGCCGCAUUAGCUAGUUGGUAAGGUAACGGCUUACCAAGGCAACGAUGCGUAGCCGACCUGAGAGGGUGAUCGGCCACACUGGAACUGAGACACGGUCCAGACUCCUACGGGAGGCAGCAGUAGGGAAUCUUCCGCAAUGGGCGAAAGCCUGACGGAGCAACGCCGCGUGAGUGAUGAAGGUCUUCGGAUCGUAAAACUCUGUUAUUAGGGAAGAACAAAUGUGUAAGUAACUAUGCACGUCUUGACGGUACCUAAUCAGAAAGCCACGGCUAACUACGUG
rnacentral:rRNA from 1 species